rnacentral:rRNA from 1 species
GAGUUUGAUCAUUGGCUCAGAUUGAACGCUGGCGGCAUGGUUAAAACAUGCAAGUCGAACGAGAAGCCCCUUCGGGGGUGGACAGUGGCGAAAGGGCGAGUAAUACAUACCUAACGUACCUUCAGGUAAGGGAUAGCUCGGGGAAACCCGUGGUAAUACCUUAUGACCCCGAUAGAUCGCAUGUUCUGUCGGGCAAAGGCUUGCUGCCUGAAGAUCGGGGUAUGUCCUAUCAGCUAGUUGGUAAGGUAACGGCUUACCAAGGCGAAGACGGGUAGCGGGUGUGAGAGCAUGACCCGCCGCAUCGGGACUGAGACACUGCCCGGACUCCUACGGGAGGCUGCAGUAACGAAUAUUCCGCAAUGCGCGAAAGCGUGACGGAGCAAUGCCGCGUGUGGGAUGAAGCAUCUAGGUGUGUAAACCACUGUCAGGUUUUAGGAAGUUCUGACCAGAACCAAAGGAAGAGCCGGCUAACUCUGUGCCAGCAGCCGCGGUAAUACAGAGGGCUCGAGCGUUAAUCGGAAUCACUGGGCUUAAAGGGUCCGCAGGCGGACUAGCAAGUAUCUUGUGAAAUACCAUGGCUCAACCAUGGAAUUGCUUGGUAAACUGCUAGUCUUGAACACGGUAGGGGCCAUCGGAACUCUAGGUGGAGCGGUGAAAUGCGUAGAUAUCUAGAGGAACGCCAGAGGCGAAGGCGGAUGGCUGGGCCGUUGUUGACGCUCAGGGACGAAAGCGUGGGUAGCGAACGGGAUUAGAUACCCCGGUAGUCCACGCCCUAAACGAUGUGUACUAGACUGCGGAGGUUUUGACACCAUCGCGGUCGAAGCAAAAGUAUUAAGUACACCGCCUGGGGAGUACGGUCGCAAGGCUAAAACUCAAAGGAAUUGACGGGGGCUCACACAAGCGGUGGAGCAUGUGGCUUAAUUCGAAGCAACGCGAAGAACCUUACCAGGGUUUGACAUGCAUGGAUUAGUUCGGUGAAAGUCGAAUGACGCUCUUUGAGUGGAACAUGCACAGGUGCUGCAUGGCUGUCGUCAGCUCGUGCUGUGAAGUGUCGGGUUAAGUCCCUUAACGAGCGAAACCCUUGCCACUAGUUGCCAGCGAGUAAUGUCGGGGACUCUAGUGGGACUGCCGGUGUCAAACCGGAGGAAGGUGGGGAUGACGUCAAGUCCUCAUGGCCUUUAUGCCCUGGGUUGCACACGUGCUACAAUGGCGCGGACAAAGCGAAGCGAUACGGUAACGUGGAGCAAAUCGCAUAAACCGCGCCCCAGUUCGGAUUGUGGUCUGCAACUCGACCACAUGAAGUUGGAAUCGCUAGUAAUCGCGGAUCAGCUACGCCGCGGUGAAUAUGUUCCUGAGCCUUGUACACACCGCCCGUCACGUCAUGGGAGCCGGGAGUACCCGAAGUGGUCACGAUUCAGUGAUCCCUACGGUAAGCUCGGUGACUGGGACGAAGUCGUAACAAGGUAACCGUA